rnacentral:misc_RNA from 1 species
CGAGCUAAUACCGCGAAAGUUGAGCGUUCACGCUUAUCGGCUGUAAAUCAAGACAGACUCAGGGGUCUGUAGCUCAGUCGGUUAGAGCACCGUCUUGAUAAGGCGGGGGUCGUUGGUUCGAAUCCAACCAGACCCACCAAUUGUCUGGCGGUAGAAACCUGAGAGGUCUCUGUAUGGGGGCAUAGCUCAGCUGGGAGAGCACCUGCUUUGCAAGCAGGGGGUCGUCGGUUCGAUCCCGUCUGCCUCCACCAAUCUUCAAUGACAAACGUUCGGGUCAGUUGACUCGAGUCU